rnacentral:rRNA from 1 species
GACGAACGCUGGCGGCGUGCUUAACACAUGCAAGUCGAACGGAAAGGCCCUGCUUUCGUGGGGUGCUCGAGUGGCGAACGGGUGAGUAACACGUGAGAAACCUGCCCUAGACUUUGGGAUAACUUCAGGAAACUGGGGCUAAUACCGGAUAGGAGCUCCUGCUGCAUGGUGGGGGUUGGAAAGUUUCGGCGGUUGGGGAUGGACUCGCGGCUUAUCAGCUUGUGGGUGGGGUAGUGGCUUACCAAGGCUUUGACGGGUAGCCGGCCUGGGAGGGUGACCGGCCACAUUGGGACUGAGAGACGGCCCAGACUCCUACGGGAGGCAGCGGGGGGGAAUAUUGCACAAUGGGCGGAAGCCGGAUGCAGCAACGCCGCGGGCGGGAUGACGGCCUUCGGGUUGUAAACCGCUUUCGCCUGUGACGAAGCGUGAGUGACGGUAAUGGGUAAAGAAGCACCGGCUAACUACGUG